rnacentral:rRNA from 1 species
GACAGAGGAUGCAAGCGUUAUCCGGAAUGAUUGGGCGUAAAGCGUCUGUAGGUGGCUUUUUAAGUCCGCCGUCAAAUCCCAGGGCUCAACCCUGGACAGGCGGUGGAAACUACCAAGCUGGAGUACGGUAGGGGCAGAGGGAAUUUCCGGGUGGAGUGGUGAAAUGCGUAGAGAUCCGGAGGAACACCAAAGGCGAAGGCAGUGUCCUGGGGAGUACCUGACGCUCAGGUGCGAAAGCCAGGGGAGCGAACGGG